GUGAGGAAUAUUGGACAAUGGAUGGAAAUCUGAUCCAGCCAUGCCGCGUGCAGGAAGACGGUCCUAUGGAUUGUAAACUGCUUUAGCAUGGGAGCAAUAAGGUGUACGCGUACACCGAUGAGAGUACCAUGAGAAUAAGCACCGGCUAACUCCGUGCCAGCAGCCGCGGUAAUACGGAGGGUGCAAGCGUUAUCCGGAUUUAUUGGGUUUAAAGGGUGCGUAGGCUGUAAGUCAAGUCAGCGGUGAAAAGUCGGGGCUAAACCUUGAGGGUGCCGUUGAAACUGAUUUACUAGAAUGUGGAUGAUGCCGGCGGAAUGUGUCAAGUAGCGGUGAAAUGCAUAGAUAUGACACAGAAGGCCGAUUGCGAAGGCAGCUGGCAAAGGCACGAUUGACGCUGAGGCACGAAAGUGCGGGGAUCGAACAGGAUUAGAAACCCUAGUAGUCC
rnacentral:rRNA from 1 species